GAUAGGAAUUCCUGGUGUAGCGGUGGAAUGCGCAGAUAUCAGGAGGAACACCGAUGGCGAAGGCAGAUCUCUGGGCCGUAACUGACGCUGAGGAGCGAAAGCGUGGGGAGCGAACAGGAUUAGAUACCCUGGUAGUCCACGCCGUAAACGUUGGGCGCUAGAUGUAGGGACCUUUCCACGGUUUCUGUGUCGUAGCUAACGCAUUAAGCGCCCCGCCUGGGGAGUACGGCCGCAAGGCUAAAACUCAAAGGAAUUGACGGGGGCCCGCACAAGCGGCGGAGCAUGCGGAUUAAUUCGAUGCAACGCGAAGAACCUUACCAAGGCUUGACAUACACCGGAAACGGCCAGAGAUGGUCGCCCCCUUGUGGUCGGUGUACAGGUGGUGCAUGGUUGUCGUCAGCUCGUGUCGUGAGAUGUUGGGUUAAGUCCCGCAACGAGCGCAACCCUCGUUCUAUGUUGCCAGCGCGUUAUGGCGGGGACUCAUAGGAGACUGCCGGGGUCAACUCGGAGGAAGGUGGGGAUGACGUCAAAUCAUCAUGCCCCUUAUGUCUUGGGCUUCACGCAUGCUACAAUGGCCGGUACAAAGGGCUGCGAUACCGUAAGGUGGAGCGAAUCCCAAAAAGCCGGUCUCAGUUCGGAUUGAGGUCUGCAACUCGACCUCAUGAAGUCGGAGUCGCUAGUAAUCGCAGAUCAGCAACGCUGCGGUGAAUACGUUCCCGGGCCUUGUACACACCGCCCGUCAAGUCAUGAAAGUCGGUA
rnacentral:rRNA from 2 species